CCUACGGGUGGCUGCAGUCGAGAAUAUUUCGCAAUGGGCGAAAGCCUGACGGAGCGACGCCGCGUGAUUGAUGAAGUCCUUCGGGACGUAAAGAUCUUUUAUGAGGGAAGAAGUAAUUGACGGUACCUCAUGAAUAAGGGCCUCCCAAUCUCGUGCCAGCAGGAGCGGUAAUACGAGAGGCCCAAGCGUUAUCCGGAAUUAUUGGGCGUAAAGGGUGUGUAGGUGGUCAUAUUAGUCUUUUGUUAAACCCACAGGCUCAACCUGUGAUCUGCAAAGGAAACGGUAUGACUAGAGGAUGCGAGAGGUAAAGGGAACUCAUGGUGUAGGGGUGAAAUCCGUUGAUAUCAUGGGGAACACCGAAGGCGAAGGCACUUUACUGGCGCACUCCUGACGCUGAGACACGAAAGCGUGGGUAGCGAAUGGGAUUAGAUACCCCAGUAGUC
rnacentral:rRNA from 1 species